ACGGCUCACGGCUCUCAUUGCACAAGCGCCAGCGUGAACGGUUGAAGAGUGUUUGUAGAGGGCUCUGUUGACAUGUAAAGGCGGAUGGGAAAGUUGUAGGGGUGGAUGGGAAUGCUAAAAGAAAAGAAAAAGAAAAAGAAAAAAAAGAAAAGGAAACUUGUGAAGGUAUGUAAGUGGUGCGAGAGCUUGUAAUAAACGAUUUGGAUCAUUGACAUCUGGUCCGUGCAUCAGCCGCUGCAGCGGGGAGGGGGAAGGAGGGGGGGGGAGGGCAGUGUGGAGGGUGUGUUCUCAGGCCAGCACCAAUCUACGUUGGCUAGAGCAGAUCACAGACUUUAAUAUCUUGAACUCCGUGUUUUUCUUAACCCUUUUGGCAUUUGCUUAUUUUUCCCUCAAUUCCACGAUUCAUACCCUCAAUUACACUUGCAUGUACCAUCAAAACAGUCCCCCCCCCUCCCUUCAAAACCCACAAAUCAAACAGUACAGUUCUUCACUUUCCACAGACACCCAGCACUUGGUCUCACAAUGAGGAUACUGAAUUACAAAAACUUAGUGGUCCCACUACUUCCUUUAUGAUCCCAGUUUCUUAUUCAAUAUCCCCCUUGGCUCACCAGCAGCGUCUCUUCAGUGAGCCAAACUACAACCCAGGGGGUCUUCUCGGUAUCUCUUUAGUCCUCCCUUGUACCACAGCAGCUUCUUAGAUAACACUUCCACAGCAUAAACAUUUAACACUCACAAAGACAGUGACAACAACCAGUACAGUUUAUCCUCGGGAUCCUUCCUCUCUCCACCUCCCCCCAGGGCCCAACCUUCCUUCGGUGUUCCAUUCCCACUCUUGCACAGCUGCCCACCUAAUCCUGCCUCUUUCUUGUCCAGUAAACAACACACCCAUGAUAAACGUCACUUCCAUCCCUGAGUAGAACUUAGGCCCCAGGAAUUGAUCUAAUUGCUCUGCUUCUCUUGUAGGAUCUUCCCUCGUUGAUAUCUAAUUCCCCCUUUUCCACAUCUAAUGCAGAAAACGCAUUCUAUUCCUACACUAACUACUGUGCCUGGCAGUAUCCCUCCCUCCUCGCCUUGGUCAUUUUUGCAGGAUGUCCGUGGCAGCCUCGACAUCGCUGCUUUGGGCAGCUGUUCUCCUCUCGCUUACAGCCUCAGUAGUCUGCGAGCGCUUUACCACGCGUUGUGACUGGGAACACACAUGUAUAACUUCAGGUUACCAGACAGCUCGUGCGUUCAGCCUUAGCAAUCGUUAGGUCCGUGGCCGUCCAACUGGCCUUGAGAGCUGGCUGUGGACUGCAUCUCCUGUCUGCCCCGAGUGGCCAGUAAGCAAAUACAGUGAAGUUAGGAAUGACUCCUUUUGGAGUGAGGAUGCACAGCCUUGGACCAUUCAGUACGCGAUCCAAGGUUACUGUUGCCUGAGGCACUCCAUCCU
rnacentral:lncRNA from 1 species